UACGAAGGGGGCUAGCGUUGCUCGGAAUCACUGGGCGUAAAGCGCACGUAGGCGGACUCUUAAGUCGGUGGUGAAAUCCUGGAGCUCAACUCCAGAACUGCCUUCGAUACUGAGAGUCUCAGAGUCCGGGAGAGGUGAGUGGAACUCCGAGUGUAGAGGUGAAAUUCGUAGAUAUUCGGAAGAACACCAGUUGCGAAGGCGGCUGACUGGACCCAUAUUGACGCUGAGGCUCGAAAGCAUGGGGAGCAAACAGG
rnacentral:rRNA from 1 species